CGAAUAGGGUACAGAUUAGAAUUGGGUUUUGAAAGUAAGGGGAAGAGUUUAUAACGGUUUGUGCGACUUUCAAAUUUUAUUUUUAUAUAUUCAGCAGAUGAACGCGGGUUUAUGGCCCUUAGUAGCAGGAAAACGGGAAGGCACGCGGCGAACGUAGAGCAACACAUCUUUUUUUUAAUCCAGAAUAUUAGUUAAGAAGGAGGUUGGGGCCGCCGCCGGUGACGCCACCGCCGUCGCGGCCCCGGGUAUCUAGGCUUCGUUGGCGGCGCCAUGCACAUCUGGUGGAGGGUUCGGUCAGUCCCCAAACGAUUCUUCGCUUGGUAGGAACUUCGAAAUCAGCGAGAUAGGUAUGAUCAACAGCCGACAGCUUGGACCGUACAAGAAAGGGGUUAAGGUGGUUUUUUUAAGACAAACCAACUAGUCGUGACCUUGCGGCGUCCAAAAUGCGCCCCAAUAGAACUUAGACCCCUUCUAAACCCUCUCCUACAGAUUAGAACGGUUGUACAAACGACAGGAACUGGACCUACCGCUCCUGCUAGCUUUCCUUCACCUUGUUGGCUGUAGGUCGUUCGGUCUUCGGCGGCGGCGGCGGCGGCGGCGGCGGCGGUCCUUUGAGCUAUCACCGUACUGCUUAUUGUUUUACUAACAUUUAAUACUACCCCUAUUUGAACCAAGUAGCAGUUCACUUAUGUUCUACGGUAACCACACCUAACUGAACCUUUACUGGCCAAACCUAUAGUCUUUUCUGGCGUAUGACCUCUAACGAACAUAAUAUUGUCUACCAUUUGAAUGGUUUGCCUAUCUCCCAGGACUAAACCAAUAUUCUGUCUCGUUCCUUACGAAUCUGUUGUACUUACUAACCACAUUUUGGGUAGUACCACGGUCACCUGACUGUCUUGUUCAUGACGUCUCACUGUAAAGACUCACACUACGACUCUUUGUCCACGAUCUGAAACAAUCCUCCAUAUAACCAAGCCGCUGAGGUAACUAACGACCCUUAAGAUAGAUAUGUCUAAAUGAUAAAAACUUCCUCAUGUACGGUGUCGAACGUCCGUAUAAGGGAGUACACUAUCAACUACACUCGUCGUAUUGCCGAGACACGUAGGCGACCAAGGGUUUCCUUUCCUUCGUUCGAGGUUCUUUCCUCUUUUUGGUGUCCCGUGACCUGCUGUAGUCUCUCUCGUAGUACCUCGACGUCAUGAUGUUCCUCUUGUAGAAGUUUAGCGCCGUUAGAUUCGUAAUCGGACAACCCUAAGUAAUCGAGAGAACUAAUAACCCUACUUUUGCAAGGGACCACAUACUAGGAAGGUAUCUAAACUACUACGAAUUUACCGGUGCACGGAAACCCCAUUGCGGUUCUAACAUCAGUGUAUCCCGUACACACCAACCACUGGUUGAAACGGUACCGAACGGUGAACAAAAACAGUGUGACCGUUUUCACGAGGGAUAGGGUGAAAAUGAUCAAAAUCCCUUUAGUGACGAAGUGUCGAUCCUCUAUGGGAUAUCAAAAUCAGGGAUUUUUUUAAUUUGUGUAAAAAUUAUGUUUAUUAAAGUUUGUGAAUAAAUUUGAUUAUUACAUGAUGAGGG
rnacentral:rRNA from 1 species